UCCUACGGGAAGCAGCAGUGGGGAAUAUUGGACAAUGGGGGGAACCCUGAUCCAGCGACGCCGCGUGAGUGAAGAAGUAUUUCGGUAUGUAAAGCUCUAUCAGCAGGGAAAAAAAUGACGGUACCUGACUAAGAAGCCCCGGCUAAAUACGUGCCAGCAGCCGCGGUAAUACGUAUGGGGCAAGCGUUAUCCGGAUUUACUGGGUGUAAAGGGAGCGCAGGCGGCCUGGCAAGCCUGAUGUGAAAUACCGGGGCCCAACCCCGGGGCUGCAUUGGGAACUGCCAGGCUGGAGUGCCGGAGAGGCG
rnacentral:rRNA from 1 species